rnacentral:rRNA from 1 species
GCCCUUAGAGUUUGAUCCUGGCUCAGGAUGAACGCUAGCGGCAGGCUUAAUACAUGCAAGUCGAACGGUAACAGAUGUAGCAAUACAUGCUGACGAGUGGCGCACGGGUGCGUAACACGUAUGCAACCUACCCUUUACUGGGGGAUAACCCUGAGAAAUUAGGGCUAAUACCCCAUGGUAUUCAGAUAAGGCAUCUUACUUGAAUUAAAGAUUUAUUGGUAAAGGAUGGGCAUGCGCCCCAUUAGUUAGUUGGUGAGGUAACGGCUCACCAAGGCAGUGAUGGGUAGGGGUUCUGAGAGGAUUAUCCCCCACACUGGUACUGAGACACGGACCAGACUCCUACGGGAGGCAGCAGUAAGGAAUAUUGGGCAAUGGGCGAGAGCCUGACCCAGCCAUGCCGCGUGCAGGAAGACGGCCUUAUGGGUUGUAAACUGCUUUUAUGUGAGACUAAUCGCCCUGACGUGUCGGGGUUUGCAGGUAUCGCAUGAAUAAGCAUCGGCUAACUCCGUGCCAGCA